rnacentral:rRNA from 1 species
AGUGAACGCUGGCGGUAGGCCUAACACAUGCAAGUCGAACGGCAGCACAGUAAGAGCUUGCUCUUACGGGUGGCGAGUGGCGGACGGGUGAGGAAUACAUCGGAAUCUACUUUUUCGUGGGGGAUAACGUAGGGAAACUUACGCUAAUACCGCAUACGACCUACGGGUGAAAGCAGGGGAUCUUCGGACCUUGCGCGAUUGAAUGAGCCGAUGUCGGAUUAGCUAGUUGGCGGGGUAAAGGCCCACCAAGGCGACGAUCCGUAGCUGGCCUGAGAGGAUGAUCAGCCAAACUGGAACUGAGACACGGUCCAGACUCCUACGGGAGGCAGCAGUGGGGAAUAUUGGACAAUGGGCGCAAGCCUGAUCCAGCCAUACCGCGUGGGUGAAGAAGGCCUUCGGGUUGUAAAGCCCUUUUGUUGGGAAAGAAAAGCAGCAGGUUAAUACCCCGCUGUUCUGACGGUACCCAAAGAAUAAGCACCGGCUAACUUCGUG